rnacentral:lncRNA from 1 species
GAUUGCUUCACCUGACCAGUGAAGUGUUAAUACAAAAAAAUAUGAAAUUCAAGUUUCAAUGUUCACAAACAAAGCUUUAUUGGCACACACCAUGCUCAUGAAUUAGUGUAUUGUCUAUGGUUGCUUUCUCAAUACACUGGCAGAGUUGGGUAGUUGUGACAGAGACCAUAAGCUCACCAAAUCUAAAAUAUUUAUCAUCUGGUCCUUUCCAGACAAGAUUUGUCAACUUCCGGCCUAGCUUAUCUGGGAGGAGGCACUGGAAACCGAUGACCUGGCUGGCUGCUUCGAAAGGGGAUUGCUCAUCCCUGGCUGAGGGAUGGGGUUGGAGGGAAGCCUUUCAUGUGGAGGCAGCAAGACGGCCAGCCCGGGCUGAGAGAAGUGGUUCAAGCCUCCUCUUUGUACACAUAUUUGACUUGGAGCUGGUUCCUGAUCAGUACAGCUGCAGAAGCAGUUACAAAGGGCCCUGGCAAUCUGGCUUUUCCUGGACUUCCCCACUCAUGCCAAUCGCUGGCUGUUAUAACCUUCAUAUCUGAACAGGUUGGGAAUUCUUUAGAAAUGGCCUUAUUUGUCCUUCCCACAAUCCAGCCAGGACAGCAGCCAUAAGAAUGGCUUUGUGUUUCCUUGAGCUGUUGAUUGGAGGGUGUGGACAACAAGAGCUGAUUAGUCCUGGGCUUUGCCCUGGGAUUGCCCAAAGUGGCACACCGGUAGUGGGGGCCAGGCUAGGACCAGGGCUCCUGGCAGCCCAGCAGUGCCUCUGCCCUUCCCUGGGCUGUUUCCAGGUGAUGUGUGUGUGUGUGUGUUUGGGGGUUGAUAUGAAUCACAAUCACAGUCCUCUCUCAAUGAGAAUGUCACAGGUGGCCACCAAAAUGGAUUCAGUGCUGGGCUCACUGUUAUUGGCGAGGGGAAUGGGACUUGGAACCAGAGGAAAAGAGACCCAUUCUCUGGCCUCAGAGAUCCUGGUGUCAAUAAACAAGAAAGAUAAUAAUAUAAAGUAAGGCUG